rnacentral:rRNA from 1 species
UACGUAGGGUGCAGGCGUUAAUCGGAAUUACUGGGCGUAAAGCGUGCGCAGGCGGUCUUUUAAGUCAGAUGUGAAAUCCCCGGGCUUAACCUGGGAACUGCGUUUGAAACUGGAAGGCUUGAGUGUGGCAGAGGGGGGUGGAAUUCCACGUGUAGCAGUGAAAUGCGUAGAGAUGUGGAGGAACACCGAUGGCGAAGGCAGCCCCCUGGGCUAACACUGACGCUCAUGCACGAAAGCGUGGGGAGCAAACGGG